rnacentral:tRNA from 1 species
AUUUGAAUAGCUUAAUAAGAGUAUAACAUUGAAGAUGUUAGGGUGAUUGUUAAAAUCUUUAAAUA